rnacentral:tRNA from 4 species
GCGCGCAUAGCUCAGUGGUAGAGCAUUCCGUUCACAUCGGAAAGGUCCGUGGUUCAAAUCCACGUGCGCGUA